rnacentral:rRNA from 1 species
AAAGGAAUCAAGGGAAUAUCUGAAGAUUUCUUCACGAGAAGAGCCGAUGAAGGACG